UUGGCGAACGGGUGAGUAACGCGUGGGUAACCUGCCUCAUACAGGGGGAUAACAGUUAGAAAUGACUGCUAAUACCGCAUAAGACCACGGAGCCGCAUGGCUCAGUGGGAAAAACUCCGGUGGUAUGAGAUGGACCCGCGUCUGAUUAGGUAGUUGGUGGGGUAACGGCCUACCAAGCCAACGAUCAGUAGCCGACCUGAGAGGGUGACCGGCCACAUUGGGACUGAGACACGGCCCAA
rnacentral:rRNA from 1 species